rnacentral:rRNA from 1 species
GCUAAGACUGGAUAGGAAGAAAUAAGGCAUCUUUUUUCUUUUAAAAGACCUAGUGAUAGGUAUACUUUAGAAGGGGCUUGCGCCAUAUUAGUUAGUUGGUAGGGUAAUGGCCUACCAAGACAAUGAUGUGUAGCUGGACUGAGAGGUUGAACAGCCACAUUGGGACUGAGACACGGCCCAAACUCCUACGGGAGGCAGCAGUAGGGAAUUUUCGGCAAUGGAGGAAACUCUGACCGAGCAACGCCGCGUGAACGACGAAGUACUUUGGUAUGUAAAGUUCUUUUAUCAAGGAAGAAAAGCAAGUGGUGAACCAUUUGUUUGCCGGUACUUGAUGAAUAAGCCCCGGGCUAAUUAUGUGCCAGCAGCCGCGGUAAGACAUAAGGGGCAAGUGUUAUCCGGAAUUAUUGGGCGUAAAGGGCGCGUAGGCGGUCUAGUAAGUCAGUGGUGUAAUGGCAACGCUCAACGUUGUCCGGCUAUUGAAACUGCUAAACUUGAGUUAGAUAGAGGCGAGUGGAAUUCCAUGUGUAGCGGUAAAAUGCGUAAAUAUAUGGAGGAACACCAGAGGCGUAGGCGGCUCGCUGGGUCUUAACUGACGCUGAGGCACGAAAGCGUGGGGAGCAAACAGGAUUAGAUACCCUGGUAGUCCACGCCGUAAACGAUGAGUACUAAGUGUCGGGUUAAACCGGUACUGAAGUUAACACAUUAAGUACUCCGCCUGAGUAGUACGUACGCAAGUAUGAAACUUAAAGGAAUUGACGGGACUCCGCACAAGCGGUGGAUCAUGUUGUUUAAUUCGAAGAUACCCGAAAAACCUUACCAGGUCUUGACAUGUUUUUGCGAAACGGUAGUAAUAUCCGUGGGAGGUUAUCAGAAACACAGGUGGUGCAUGGGUUGUCGUCAGCUCGUGUCAUGAGAUGUUAGGUUAAGUCCUAAAACGAGCGAAACCCUUAUCGUUAGUUGCCAGCACGUUAUGGUGGGGACUUUAACGAGACUGCCAGUGAUAAAUUGGAGGAAGGUGAGGAUCACGUCAAAUCAGCAUGCCCCUUAUGACCUGGGCUACAAACGUGAUACAAUGGCUGUUACAAAGGGUAGCUGAAACGCAAGUUCUUGGCCAAUCCCCAAAAACAGUCUCAGUCCGGAUUGAAGUCUGCAACUCGACUUCAUGAAGUUGGAAUCGCUAGUAAUCGCGAAUCAGCAUGUCGCGGUGAAUACGUUCACGGGGUUUGUACACACCGCCCGUCAAC